rnacentral:lncRNA from 1 species
CCUAAUUUGAAUGCAUACUCAUUAUAAAACGUCAUUAUUUUUCCAUUCAGAAUCGUAUUCUCUCUGUAAUUAAAAAAAAAAAACAAAACCAGACUUUCGACAGAAAAUUAUUUUUAUAAAAACGGUAGUGUUUUUUAAGAGAAUCGCAUUAAUUUUGUAACGGUGCCAUUUUCUCGACGUCGUAAAACUAAAAAUCGUUCGGUCGUAAGCAUAAACUUUGUAGUAUUAAACAAUUUAAAACUCUUCCAAAUUCGUCUAAUCAGUGAGACGACUGAGAUUAAUAGAAUUUCAAAUCGCUUUUUACACGAUAAUGAACGGUUCGUGACAGUGUAUGUAUCAGUUCCCAAAAUUAUGCUUUGUAAAAAUGUAGGUAGACGUGCAAUGAUGCUAAUUAUUUAAAACAUCUGGAGGGAGAAAACAUGGGGAGGAAAGUUGGCAGUAAUGUCGAAAAACUUCGCGCCUGUUUUCUUACCUAGUGUAUUCGAGUUAUCAAAACAUUACUUUCGACCUUGACAGCUGUUCAUCGCGUCAUUUAACGAUGACGAAAUAAAUUUUCGAAACGAAUUCUGAUCCCAAUUCAACGUCGCCUUUCUCCUUUUUGGGAAAUGUAGAGGUUAAUAAGAACGGAUAUCUGGAGAGAAACCUUCGAAUAAAUACAAGAGAGAGUGAUUGAUCGAAGUCGUUGCAAACCAGAACAGAACAAAGAAUAGUCUCUGUUCUCGUUUAAGUUCCUGACCUACUUGGCGUCGCGUCGCUAAACGUAACGGCUAUGCGACGCGCACAUUUAUUACAAAUGUUUAGAUAUGCAAUGUUCGUUUAGCUAACAGAUGCGAGACGAUUGCCAUCUUCAAUGCGUAUUUAAAUGGUAAUUAAUCUUUUGUCAACGACAAGUAGAGGAAAUCGAUACAAUCUUCGCGUACGCGUCGCGUUAUCUUUACACUUAGCGACGCUAAGUAGCGCACUAGUGUAAUCGUAUGAGAACGACAUUUUAAUAGUACAGAAAUAAGUUCUUGUCUGCAGAUAGUACAAUUUUAUCGCAGGUAGUAGUUUACGUCUGAGAUAUGAUGUUUAUGUUAACCAUGAAAUAAAACUAAACAUGUUAAAAAAAACUUUCUCUGUACGUGACUUCCUGCACUUGAUACCGUUUCCGUUGUUCUGCUUGCGAUUGGAUAUAUCAGUUCGUACUUCCAAAUAUAUAAUUCGUAUCAUCUUUAAAUUUCGACCAUUUUUCUGUUUGCAUGUGAUACAUAAAUGUGUGUAUUACAUUUGCAUAUCAAAUGGCAAACCACACGCCACAAAAUAAGCAUUAAAAAAUUUUUUCUGUUGGCAAUUAUUG